rnacentral:rRNA from 6 species
UCGGCCUCAGAUUGGUAGGACUACCCGCUGAACUUAAGCAUAUCAAUAAGCGGAGGAAAAGAAACUAACAAGGAUUCCCCUAGUAACGGCGAGUGAAGAGGGAAGAGCCCAAGAUUGAAAGCUGGCGUCUUUGGCGUCCGCAUUGUAAUCUCAAGAAGUGUUUUCCGCUUCGGACCAUGCCUAAGUCCCUUGGAAAAGGGCAUCAUAGAGGGUGAUAAUCCCGUACAUGGCAUGGAGCGCCCGAAGCUUUGUGAUACACUUUCUAAGAGUCGAGUUGUUUGGGAAUGCAGCUCAAAAUGGGUGGUAAAUGCCAUCUAAGGCUAAAUAUUGGGGAGAGACCGAUAGCGAACAAGUACAGUGAUGGAAAGAUGAAAAGAACUUUGAAAAGAGAGUUAAACAGUACGUGAAAUUGCCAAAAGGGAAGGGUAGGAGGUCAGAGAUGCGGUCUGGGAUUCAGCCUUGCUUUUGCUGGGUGUUUUUCUCAGAUUGCAGGCCAACGUCGGUUUUGGGCGCUGGAGAAGGGUGGAAGGAAUGUGGCACCUCUCGGGGUGUGUUAUAGCCUUCUACUGGAUACAGUGACCGAGACCGAGGACAGCAGCGUACUCGCAAGAGCGGGCCUUCGGGCACCUUUACGCUUAGGGCGUUGGCAUAAUGGCCCUCUACCACCCGUCUUGAAACACGGACCAAGGAGUCUAACAUGUAUGCGAGUCUUUGGGUGGCAAACCCAUAGGCGCAAUGAAAGUGAAUUCAGGUGGGAUCCGCAAGGUGCACCAUCGACCGAUCCUCACGUCUUUUUUAAGUCGUGGAUUUGAGUAAGAGCAUACCUGUUGGGACCCGAAAGAUGGUGAACUAUGCCUGAAUAGGGUGAAGCCAGAGGAAACUCUGGUGGAGGCUCGUAGCGGUUCUGACGUGCAAAUCGAUCGUCAAAUUUGGGUAUAGGGGCGAAAGACUAAUCGAACCAUCUAGUAGCUGGUUCCUGCC